rnacentral:rRNA from 1 species
GACGAACGCUGGCGGCGUGCUUAACACAUGCAAGUCGAACGGAAAGGCCCUGCUUUUGUGGGGUGCUCGAGUGGCGAACGGGUGAGUAACACGUGAGUAACCUGCCCUUGACUUUGGGAUAACUUCAGGAAACUGGGGCUAAUACCGGAUAGGAGCUCCUGCUGCAUGGUGGGGGUUGGAAAGUUUCGGCGGUUGGGGAUGGACUCGCGGCUUAUCAGCUUGUUGGUGGGGUAGUGGCUUACCAAGGCUUUGACGGGUAGCCGGCCUGAGAGGGUGACCGGCCACAUUGGGACUGGGGUAGGGCCCAGACUCCUACGGGAGGCAGCAGGGGGGAAUAUUGCACAGUGGGCGGAAGCCUGAUGCAGCAACGCCGCGUGCGGGAUGACGGCCUUCGGGUUGUAAACCGCUUUCGCCUGUGACGAAGCGUGAGUGACGGUAAUGGGUAAAGAAGCACCGGCUAACUACGUG